AGGGCACUACAUGCUGGAAAAGAGCUAAUUCCCAAUGACCAGCAGGAGGUGCUGCAGGGGUCCUAACAAGGAGCAGGGGCAGAGUAACAGUGGGUCUGCUGCAGGUAAAAAUGUUUCCUAGACAGGGCUGGAAUAUACAACCCCAAAGACUUUAAAGUUGCCCUACAAUCCUUCACGCAUGGAGCCUGGAGUCUG